rnacentral:rRNA from 1 species
UGAGGAAUAUUGGUCAAUGGGCGAGAGCCUGAACCAGCCAAGUAGCGUGCAGGAUGACGGCCCUAUGGGUUGUAAACUGCUUUUAUGUGGGGAUAAAGUGCGUGACGUGUCAUGCAUUGCAGGUACCACAUGAAUAAGGACCGGCUAAUUCCGUGCCAGCAGCCGCGGUAAUACGGAAGGUCCGGGCGUUAUCCGGAUUUAUUGGGUUUAAAGGGAGCGUAGGCUGUCUAUUAAGCGUGUUGUGAAAUUUACCGGCUCAACCGGUGGCUUGCAGCGCGAACUGGUCGACUUGAGUAUGCAGGAAGUAGGCGGAAUUCAUGGUGUAGCGGUGAAAUGCUUAGAUAUCAUGACGAACUCCGAUUGCACAGGCAGCUUACUGUAGCAUAACUGACGCUGAUGCUCGAAAGUGCGGGUAUCAAACAGG